GACGAACGCUGGCGGCGUGCCUAACACAUGCAAGUCGAACGAAGAAUUGAGAGCUUGCUUUUGAUUCUUAGUGGCGGACGGGUGAGUAACGCGUGAGAAACCUGCCUGUCAGAGGGGGAUAACGUUUGGAAACGAACGCUAAUACCGCAUGACAUAUGCGAACCGCAUGGUUUGCAUAUCAAAGGAGCAAUCCACUGACAGAUGGUCUCGCGUCCGAUUAGCUAGUUGGCGGGGAUAACAGCCCACCAAGGCGACGAUCGGUAGCCGGACUGAGAGGUUGAUCGGCCACAUUGGGACUGAGACACGGCCCAGACUCCUACGGGAGGCAGCAGUGGGGAACAUUGCACAAUGGAGGAAACUCUGAUGCAGCGACGCCGCGUGAGGGGAAGAAGGGUACUUCGGAUUGUAAACCUCUGUCUUCGGGGACGAGUAAUGACGGUACCCGAGGAGGAAGCCAACGGCUAACUACGUGCCAGCAGCCGCGGU
rnacentral:rRNA from 1 species